AACGAACGCUGGCGGCAGGCCUAACACAUGCAAGUCGAGCGAGGACUUCGGUCCUAGCGGCGGACGGGUGAGUAACGCGUGGGAACGUGCCCUUUGCUACGGAAUAGCCCCGGGAAACUGGGAGUAAUACCGUAUGUGCCCUUCGGGGGAAAGAUUUAUCGGCAAAGGAUCGGCCCGCGUUGGAUUAGGUAGUUGGUGGGGUAAUGGCCUACCAAGCCGACGAUCCAUAGCUGGUUUGAGAGGAUGAUCAGCCACACUGGGACUGAGACACGGCCCAGACUCCUACGGGAGGCAGCAGUGGGGAAUCUUAGACAAUGGGCGCAAGCCUGAUCUAGCCAUGCCGCGUGAGCGAUGAAGGCCUUAGGGUUGUAAAGCUCUUUCAGUGGGGAAGAUAAUGACGGUACCCACAGAAGAAGCCCCGGCUAACUCCGUGCCAGCCGCCGCCGUAACAC
rnacentral:rRNA from 1 species